UUUCUAAGCUUCCUGUAUUUAAUUUAAAAAAUAUUUAAAUAGAUACAAACAAAGUUGAAGUCUUUCUGGUCUAUCUCAACAACUGAGAGUAUUUUCUUUCUGCUCUUUUUCAGUUAUCUACCUAUCUUUCUCCUAAUUUAAUGUUAACUUACCACUGUUACCUAUAAGGGAAGUUUUAAUCACCUAUGGACUUAUUUCCAAUCAUUAAACUGCAGAAAUAAUAGUUUCACUGGUAUUGGUGUGUUUACAUGCAGCAACUCACUUAACAUCCACAACAGCAAAGAGAGGCCAAAAACAACUUGUUCAGUAUUACACAGCUAGAAAGGAACAGUCAGGAUUUAGAGGACAUCUCCCUCUGGCUGUCAUACAACAUUUUGAGAAUCACUGAUCUGAUCAUAUCUACAGAAGGGGAGAAUUUCCAAAAAGAUAAAGCCAUCUAUAUGAAAUAUAACCUGCUUAAAAUUCAGUCCUCAUAUUCACUGAAAUCUGAUUAAUAGCACUAAAAGUUGAAGUGCUUAAUUUACUGAACAGAUUAAUUAAUACACAGCACUCACAACUUGAAUGUAUUUACUGUGCCUAAGAUAAAUUAUCUAGUAGCCCAGGAGAUAAAAUGGUAAAUGUGAACUACAGAUAUCUCCUUACACCCACACCCAGGACCAGUUUCUAAACAUAAAUAUGUCUUUUUUAAUGUUUGGGGUUUUCAAUAUGCAAUUAAUUUUGAAAAUUUCUUCUCCACUUGAAUCAAAUGUAUGAAAGAUGAUAUGUCAUGAGCUUUGUAAUGUUUUGAACAACCAAUAAAAAAAAGAAAAUUUAUUCUCCAUAGUGACAGCAAAUUUCAAAUAAACCAAAGCUUUCUCUUCAAUAGUCAAUGAAGAAAGUAAUCUUCUGGCAAUACUGGUAGAAUAAAUUCAGUCAAAUAGAACUGGCUAUAAAAAUAAUC